UGGUUAUUAUGGGUGAUAUUGUCCGUGUGAGUGUCGUGACCGUGCCGGAUUGACUUCGAAGGGGGCAACAGAUGCAACGGCCGGCCAAUGGGCAGCUUUCUUUAACUUCAAGACCGAGUGCUGCUGAAAGCUUUCUGAAAGCAACAAAAGGACAGAAAAUAUGGGAUGUGGCCCUUGGAAAGACUAGCUGAUGAAGAAAUCGAUGUCUGUGCUGCACAGCAAGGCUUGUGUGGCAGACCUUAAAGCAUCAAUAGAUACGGUGUCUGCCUGCUGGAAUUGCACCAUCUCCCUGAAAGUACCCAGGUGCUGCAGAAGUACUUGACUGAUCUGCCCGCAUCGCCAUUUGGCCUGUUGUGGGAUCCCACAAGAUAUGCUGCUACCCUGCGUUUUGUUCCUCGGUCAAUUGCUAAACUUCUGCAAGCCCCAUGGAAGCCAACUGUCAUCUGCAUUGAAUGGAACAAAUUCAUUAAUCCGGCCUUCAUAAUAUAUCUUAAACUGAAGCUAGAACCAGAGCUUAAACAGCGUAUAUUCUAUAAAGAUUUACCACUGCAUACCUUCGGGUGCCUACACCCAACAGUCUACUGUCUAGAACACGAAUGAUGUUUUAUUCUAGAAUAGCUUUGUCAGUAGUACUACUGCUUGUUUUUGUAGGAUCAGAGUCCACGCUGUUUUUGCAAUCCUAUCAGAACACAGAAGGACGAGGAUAAUGUUAAUUUAUUGUUUCAGAGAUUGACACUUGGACUUAUGAGAAAUAGUUCAGGGGCACAGACUGUUAUAUUAAAUAUGGCUUAAGAAAAGAAACCUGAAUGAAAAAUACAGACCAGAUGCAUGGUAGGAUGUCAGAAAGGAGAUAGAGGUUUUAGCCAUAAUAGUGCGGCAACGACUACAGUGCAGCAGGACACUUUAACUGGAGCUCUUCUCCACUUGCAGACCAAUGCAAGCGCAGUACACUUGGAAAGGCUCUGCGUGGUUGUGUUGGCAGCCUGGUUUCUACAUAAGAGUUGGUUAUAAACAUAUAAUGAUGUUAACGCACACAAAAACUACCUUAGGUACUGUAUCCAUUUUCUUCAGUUUACUUUUCGUUGUAAAUACAUUCGUUAAAGAUUUUCAUUGUGUUCAGGAAGCCGAUUUUUUUUUUUACAUUGAUAAGCUCGGUCUGUUUACAUUCAUAUUUGCAAAGAUACAUUUUUAAGCUGGUCUGGCGUUUGCACGGCCAGACCCCGACAUACAUCAAUCUAACACUUACAAAAUGCACCCACUAAUAGCUGGAAUGUGUACAACAAAGAUGUGUGACACAUAUCUACUACCACUUGCUAGCAUUUUCUGUAUUAGGAGCUGGGUCACUGCUACAGCUUUUUUUAUCACAAUAAAAAUAAUGUGAUGUACAAAAACUAUCCUCUGUUGUAUUGUUAUUCUGUGUUUUGUAUUGAAAUAAAACAUUCCAUUCCCUGUGUAUACAUGCAGGUAUAAUUAUGAAAACCAUUUCAUGGUUGGUCACUUCCUCGGGCUUGGAUGUUCAUAGGCAUGAUAAGCAAAUAAACUGAAUAUAUUAAAGCAAGGCUCACGUAAUUAUUGCUUACGACUUUAAAUACCAGCUACUGCAUACUUCCCACGCAAAAUUACAGUAUACUCUUUGUUUUCCCUAGAGCAACUAUCUGCAUGAAGUUAUAUAGAGAGAGAGAAACGUUUAUUCUUGAAACAGUGUCCCGAGUGAGGCCCGGUAUCACCCUGAGGUGGGAAGGUUCCUUAGUCCAGGAACCCUCUGGCUUCGGCUGCCCUCUUGGCCCUGGCGACGAGUUGUCGUUGGUCUUCCAGGUCCCCGAGGGCGAGCUUGGCCUCCCACGUUUCGAAUAGGUGGUCUUCGUUUGCUUGUGGUGCUCGGUUAGCGUCCAUUUCCGGCUGCAUUUCACUAUCUUCAUGCCAUGGGCAUUCCAAGAGCAAGUGUGCCAGCGUGUCGGGAACGUUGCAGAGUGGGCAGAGGUAGCUGAGGAGCGUCGGGUACUUACACUCACGGAACAAUAAUGCAUGAAGUUAUAGAAAAUAAUUUUUAAAAAAGUGAAUGCACCUGGUCGUUUAUAGAGGAGCUCACCUUGCCGCGGUGCACUUCGCCAUCCUUGGAAUAGCGUAGUCAGGGAUGUGGCCAAGCUCAGGUAGGGCAAAUGCCGCAGCCAGAUCCGCAUCCAGCAAUCGAGCACACGGGCAGUACACGCACUAAUGGCAGGAAUCUUUGCAGUUGUUUUCUUUUCGUAGGUUCGAAGUCCGCUGCAAUUAUGUAUCGCGCCGUGCUUGGAACUGAUGCUGCUUUCUAUGAUCACCCUCGAGAAACACAUCAAUGCACUGGCGCUGAUAGUAGUUUUGGAGCACUUGCACGAAGAAUACACGUAUGUAGGUCAUCAACUGGCUCAUGCACGGAAUAAGAUGACACUGCACUAGCUGGCAGUCUUCUUGACAGGACGGCCGACCUGUCUCGGCGCCGCAGUAGAAUUACUCCGUUACCGAAGGGCUCCAGAGGAUUGCACUGGUCCGUAAAACGAUGCCCUUGAAGAUGCGCAGCAUCGUUAACAAGAAAAACUGCGAAGGCAACUGGCGUCCAUCGGAAAAAGCCGACGUGGCGAGCAACAAAUCACAACGCAGCAAUGUUUGCGCACUAACUGCACGCAAGGAGUGAUUCAAGGUAGCUGCGAGGCUACCUUGAGGUUCUUGAGUGAAAUGCUUGAGCUUUCCUUCACUCAAGGCGUGUUUCGAGUGGACGGCGAUUUGUGAAAUGAAAAGCCACCCUCAAGGAGCAUUUCGAGUGGAGGGUCGAGUCGAGUGGAAGUGCAUUUGUGAAUACGGGGAUAAGGAAGAGUGACUUGCUAAAACACGACUUGCAAAAAUGGCUAAGUUGUGGUUUCAGAGUGAUGAUGACUCAGCAAAAAAAGUGCCGAGUCACGGUCCGAAUUUGGUGAAAUAAGGAUGACUUGCAAAAAUGACUGCAAAAUGUGUAAAGAAAAUGUCAAAAGAAAUUUCACAAAGCGUAAAAAGUGGUUGUCAUUGAGUUAGCGGCGCUUGGGCUUUCACCUUCAAGUCGCCUUAGUUGUAGCAUAAGGAACUCCUAUUCAUUUUUCAUGUGUACAGUAAAAAUCAAUAUAAGUUAAUGCAGAGUACAGGUUGACCCCUGAUUUGAGCUAAGUGAAUUUUUUGUUUUUCAAAUAUAUUUGUCACAGUUAACUACAGACCAUGCUUUCUUGGAUCACUGCGCUCAUCACGGACAAGAAGUGAACUGUCAUUAUUCUUAUCCGGGGAUGGCUGCUAGUUACUUUUGGCAUCCCACAGCAGGGUGUUAUCCGGAGAAUUUGCUACGCAGGACUAAACACGGGCAAUGAGUGGCACACCAUCGACCUGCUGGCCUUUCACUUGUUUUGAUGGUCGAUAGCAGUAUUGUCGCACUGUGUUCUCACCGCCUGCGGUAAAACCUCUCUUCCACACUGGCCAUUUUUCCCAACAGAUAGUCAUUCUUCUGCUGCGCUCUUAUUACAAAGUGCUCAAAGCUCAUCUGAUGACGAAAAGUUGAGCCUUUUUCGCUGCUUGAAGUGACGUAAUUAUGAGUGAAUUCAACUGCCUUUGCAAGGAAUCGAAUCUACUAUUAUCGUGAGAACUAGCGCACAAUGCUCGUGAAGAAAUUCCAAAGUGUAGCAAUCGCAGAACGAAGUUUUCAGGGAAAGUCGACAGUUUCACUGUUUUGCUUUCUGUUAGCAGAAACCAAUUGGUACAGUGCUACCAUGUUCCCAUUCACUUCUGCAAUUCUAUCAACUUCGAAUGCAGAACUAAGUCAAGCCAUGGUCUACUAAUUUUGCACUUCGAGACGGUAGUAGCGCAAUAAAGUUGGGCGAGUUGGUGAAACUGCAUAUUGUACUAGUUGCAAGUCAGCACUUGUCCUGUGGACUGCAUCUUUGUGCAUUGUCCAUUUGCACUGCAAUAGUAAUGCACGUUGGCACAUUCGCAGUACCAACAAGAACAAAAAUGGCGUAAUGCUUUUUUUUUUUUUUUUUUUUUUUUUUUUGUAGUGGCCAGACAGUUGAAAUUGUGCCAAAGACCACUAUGUUAAAUGAGGGGGCACUUGUCACCUAACUUUUUCUGGGGGAAAAACUCUACCUAUAUUCUGGUCUUUACGGCAUUUAAUACUUUUUAUUAGGGCAAUAUUUAGAAUACUGCACCAUACUUCUGCUCGUUUGCAAAAAUGCAUUUUUGGCUGCUCCAAAAGCUGCCCUGAAAUGGCAUGGGCCAGUAGCAUCACUGGGAUAUACAGGGUAUUAUAAUUAACUUGGGCCAAACAUUAAAAAUAUGCAAAUGCCAUGUUGCUGGACAGAACCAAGGUAAUCUUGUUUGCUGUCACUUGAAGAUACUCAGAUUAUUUUUGCAGCAUUCUGCCUAAUUACAUCAUCAGCCUCAAUCAAUUUCUUAACUAUUAUAAUUAGAUAAAAGUGUCAAUGAAAAAAUUGUUGCAACAUGAAUGGCAACAUGAAAAACUCCCGAUACAGCUUUUUGUUGCUCAAUAUGCACUACAUAAGUGUUUUUCAGAGCGUGAAAGAUGCCCACGAAUACACGCAAAAUUGCUGCACAACUGGCCGCUCAAGGUGUGUAUUUGCGGGCAACUUUCACGCUCGGAAAAACGCUUUUACGUAGCACGUAUUGAGCAACAAAAAGCUGUAUCGGGAGUUCCUCACGUUGCUCUAUAAUUUUCUUAUUGACACUUUCAUCUAAUUACAGUAACUGAGAAGUUGAUUAAUUAAUUGAGACUAAUGAUGUAAUUAGGCAGAAUGCAAAAAAAAUCUGAGAAUCUCCAAGCGAUGGCAAACAACAUUACCUUGGUUCUGUCCAGCUACGUAGCAUUUGCAUAUUUUUGAAGUUUGGCUCAAGUUAAGCGAAACACCCUGCAUUAAUAACAAUAGGUAACCCAGCCACUUCAAGAGGCUACUGGCAAGCACUUUGUGACACAAUAUAUUGAAUCGCCUAUAGUAGGCAUAAUUUCUCGGAGUUGGUAGU